GUUCAUCUCAAUAACUGCCGGUAAACCUGUCAUGGCCCUGAUCCAACCAGUUCCCAUCACCAUGACUGUCUGGGUGCGCCCACAAUGGAGCCCUAUUCCUUAUAUAAGUCACUGUUUCUAGAAGUAGUGCACUAUGUAGGGAAUAGAGUGCCAUGUUGGACAGAGAUUCAGUUUAUUUAACUUGACCCUGUUCCUGCUCCCCACUCACUCCUCACUCUCAGUUAAACAAAUAGAGACGUCCGUUCACUAUCAGUUCAUUGGUAAACACCACCAUGAGUGUCCUCAGCUACGUGUCCAGAAAUACAUAUUCAGAACUUUGUUAUUCCUCCUCCUCAGACCCCUCCCCUUAUUCUGGACCACACCUUGGUCUGAACUGGUUAUGAUCAUGUGUGUCGUCCCAGUGAUUGAGAAGUGAACAGGAGUUUUUUUUAACCCAAAGAUCCUGAUGAAAUUCAUUAAGUGGGAAGCAACCGAGGAGGAGGAGGAGUGAGGAGGAGGAGUGAGGCUUGACUAGUUUAGUGUUGCAACAUGACUAGGGGGAUGGGUGAAUUCUGAAUCAGUGUGUAUAUAAGGGUAAGCAAUAUUCAGACCUCCAGUUCCAUUAUCAAGCUGUGAUUGUGAUAUGAAGAUGCAGAAGUCUGUCUCUGUUGUUCCUCUGUUGUUGCUCCUCUGUCUGUCUGUGGUAGGGGUCACCAAAGGUCAAGGGGUAGAGGUCACCAAAGCUGUAGAGUUCAAGACGGAAAACGAGGUGGUCACAACACCAGCAGAUGGAAAGACAGAUGGACGGACAGACUCUGAGCCGGACCUCUGGGCUGAGCUGAGAGCGCUGAGAGACAUGGUGGUGGAACAGAGAGUGGAACUGGCUGUCACUCAAAGUCAACUGGAGGAUAUGAAGACACAGAAUUCAGAGAUGCAGUUCAGGCUGAGAACUGCAGAGAACCAGGUGAAGCUACUGAAGGCUGAGAUUCAAGAAGGGAAUGUAGCGUUCUCUGUUACUUUGGGAGUUGGGGGUUACUAUGGUGGUUACUAUGGACCCACAUCCAAUACCCUGGUCUACAAGGACAUCCUGACAAACAUCGGCAAUCACUACAACCCAACUAAUGGUGAGUUACAAUGUAUGCUUUGCUGCAGUUUCUUACUCUUGAACUGAUCUGUGGAGAGUCUUCAACUGAACUAUCUAUAGAGAGUCUUCAACUGAAUUAUCUAUGGAGAGAGAUAGUUCAGUCUAUCUAUAGAGAGUCUUCAACUGAACUAUGUAUGGAGAGUCUUCAACUGAAUUAUCUAUAGAGAGUGUUCAACUGAAUUAUCUAUAGAGGGUCUUCAACUGAAUUAUCUAUAGAGGGUCUUCAACUGAAUUAUCUAUGGAGAGUCUUCAACUGAUUUAUCAAUAGAGAGUGUUCAGCUGAAUUAUCUAUAGAGAGUCUUCAACUGAAUUAUCUAUGGAGAGUCUUCAACUGAAUUAUCUAUAGAGAGUGUUCAGCUGAAUUAUCUAUAGAGAGUCUUCAACUGAACUAUGUAUGGAGACAGACUCACAUGUUUCAUCUCUUUCCCAGGUCACUUCACAGCCCCAGUGAGGGGAGUGUACUACUUC
rnacentral:lncRNA from 8 species